rnacentral:rRNA from 1 species
GAUGAACGCUGGCGGCGUGCCUAACACAUGCAAGUCGAGCGAAGCACCUUACUUGAUUUCUUCGGGAUGAAAGUAUUGUGACUGAGCGGCGACGGGUGAAGUAACGCGUGGAUAACCUGCCUCGUACAGGGGGAUAACAGUUAGAAAUGACUGCUAAUACCGCAUAAGACCACAGCACCGCAUGGUGCAGGGGUAAAAACUCCGGUGGUAUGAGAUGGAUCCGCGUCUGAUUAGCUAGUUGGUAAGGUAACGGCUUACCAAGGCAACGAUCAGUAGCCGACCUGAGAGGACGACCAGCCACACUGGGACUGAGGCACGGCCCAAA